rnacentral:piRNA from 1 species
UAACUAGUCUUUUGGGGUUCUAGUU